rnacentral:rRNA from 1 species
CCCUCUGGGGUGCACCAGAUUCGCGUGCAGAUGGCGGCCGCCGGGCACCCGGUGCUGGGGGACGACAAGUACGGUGACCGGGAGUUCAACAAACUCCACAAAAAGAAACUCCAGCAGCUUCUGGCGAAACGGCUGGAGAUUGACGGGCAUGUGUUUGAGAGUUUAAGGGAGUUGGAGAUUUAGGGGAAGAAGAAGAGGUACGCGAAAGCGAACCUCUUUAUUACAAUAUCUACGAAUUCCACAAAUUGCUGCUGAUAAUGUUUUGCACUUUCUCCAUGGUUUCUCUUGUCAUUAUUGUUUGAUGAUUUCUAGAUCCAAGCCGCAUUUCAAAGAUGGGAAGAGCUUUCUUUAACCACUUGAAUGCCAGACUAUAUUUACCUUGAGCCUUAUAGGUCGAUCCGAUUAAGUAGUAGGAAUUGGCGGGGGGGC